rnacentral:rRNA from 1 species
CCUACGGGAGGCAGCAGUGAGGAAUAUUGGUCAAUGGCCGCAAGUCUGAACCAGCCAUGCCGCGUGCAGGAAGACGGCCCUAUGAGUUGUAAACCGCUUUUGUCCGGGGGCAAACGCACCCACGCGUAGCUGUCUGAAAGUAUCGUACGAAAAAGGAUCGGCUAACUCCGUGCCAGCAGCCGCGGUAAUACGGAGGAUUCGAGCGUUAUCCGGAUUUAUUGGGUUUAAAGGGUGCGUAGGCGGUGUAUAAAGUAAGCGGUAAAAUCGUGGAGCUCAACUCCGUACAGCCUUUGAUACUGAUCGUCUUGAGUGGGGGUGAGGUAUGCGGAAUGCGUGGUGUAGCGGUGAAAUGCAUAGAUAUCACGCAGAACACCGAUUGCGAAGGCAGCAUACCAGGCUACUACUGACGUUGAGGCACGAAAGCGUGGGGAUCGAACAGGAUUAGAUACCCGUGUAGUC